CCCCGACUUGAGCGGAAAUCCUUUUUUGCCAACCUUCGAGUUCUAUUUAGACUGAAAUCGUCUGCAAAAAAGAUUGGGAGCGGAAGGCGGAUAAAGGU
rnacentral:sRNA from 1 species